rnacentral:rRNA from 1 species
GUGCCAGCCGCCGCGGUAAUACCGGCAGCUCAAGUGAUGUCCCAUAUUAUUGGGCCUAAAGCGUCCGUAGCUGGCCGGACAAGUCCGUUGGGAAAUCCACCCGCUUAACGGGUGGGCGUCCAGCGGAAACUGUCCGGCUUGGAGCCGGAAGAUCCGAGGGGUACGUCCGGGGUAGGAGUGAAAUCCUGUAAUCCUGGACGGACCGCCGGUGGCGAAAGCGCCUCGGGAAGACGGACCCGACAGUGAGGGACGAAAGCUGGGAUCUCGAACCGGAUUAGAUACCCCAGUAGUCC